rnacentral:tRNA from 1 species
GCAGUGGUGGCUCAGUUGUAGAAUUCUUGCCUUCCAUGUAAGAGACCUGGGUUCAAUUCCUAGCCAAUGUA